rnacentral:lncRNA from 1 species
CGAUGGCUUGGGCGAUGGUCCAUCGAUGGCUCGAUGGUUCUUCACUCUGUCCGUCGCAGUCUAGCCAGAAAAUAGGUUACUGCCAUAUUAGCGACGGUCAGGGCGACGAUCCGUCGCUGGGUCGACAGUUCAUCGCUCUUUCUAUAAUAGUUUGACUAGAAGGUAGUCUUACUGCCUCAGUUGCGACGGUUUGGGAUACGGUCCGUCGCUAGCUUGACGGUUCUUCGCGCCUUCCGUCGCUCCUAGGAGGUUCAGACAGCUCAUUGUAAAACAUCUAUAUCUUUUUACCCCGAUACCGGAUUUGGACGAAAUUGGUAUUGUUAGAAAGCUAAUUAAAUUUCCCACAUGAUAGAAGUUGAAAUUGGGGAAAUUCUAUCUGAUUUAAACAUUAAUCAUUUAGGAAAUCAUCACUAACUCUUUUGGAGACUAGAUUAGACUUUAAAAAAUAUUUAGGGUAUUAUAUCCAUAAAGCCAGGAAUUUAGUUUAGCAGCCAGGCAGACAAGUUCGUAUGGUUUCCCAUCUUUCCACCCAGUCUCCCUAUCCGAAGUCUCCCGAAUAUGCCCAUUCCAAGAUGUUGCAUCCUAGUAGUUAUGAGUUUAGCCCAGUUUAUAUGUCGUGCCUCAGUUUUAGACCCCAAAUACUCAGUCAAGAUUCAGUUCGUAGGUACCCCAUGCAUUGUCUCAGCUUUUCCUCAGUAUCUCAUCCAGGUCGACAUUCUCAUCGAGGUCGACAUUUUUCAAGAGACAUAAUGUCCCAAGGAAGAGAUGCACUAUAACCCUUGAGCUUUCAUGUCCUAAACCUUUUAAUUUCUCUUCGCGUAACGAAUCCAAUUUGGUGUAACGGGUACUCAUAAGUUGACUCUUAUUUUAAUCUCAGUCGUAUUAACAUUCCCAUAGCAUGGCAUAUAUAUUCAAGGAAUCAGUUCAGUUCAUGAUAUUCAGUUCAUGUAUCAUGUUUCAGACUCAGUCAUGUCCUCAUGUUCCCGUUCAUACAUGUUCAGUAAGCGAUCUCAGGUUCAUUAGUAUUCUCAGCUUAAGGUGACUGUCUUCGUUAGAUUUACUCAGUUCUAUGAUGUAGUUACAGUUGUAAACAUCGUAUCCAUUAUCAUUGCAUAUUCAGUCAUGCAUUCAUGAAUCAGUUCAGUCAUGUAUUUCAUGUAUCAGAUAUGCAUGGUCAGUAUGUAAAGCCAGCAUAUCAGUAGUUUUAGUCAAGUAGUCAUGCUUUAGUUAUGCAUGUUCAAUGUGUAAACUCAGUCUAUUAGAAUUUCUCAGCUUGAUUAGUCUCAUUCGAGGACGAAUGUUCCCAAUGGGGAGAUAUUGCAAUAUCCCGUAUUUUCCUAGCUUAAUUUAAGUCUUAGUACAUGAUUAAUUCCAUGUAAAAAAUUUUAAAUACUACGUCUUUUUUCAGUUUGAGCCUACCAUAGCGUAGGAAAUUCAAUUAACUUUCCAAUGAUAUAAAAUUCACCCAAAUCCGAUACCCGGGUGAAGAGUUAGAGUCAUUAUAGUGAAACAGUGUACCACCUGGUACUUCAGCGCAUCGCGGAGGCGGUCCAAAUGACAAUUGUCAUUUUCCAGUGAGCCAACAUGAUACCACCACAUCGUGCCUCCAACCAAUUUCCCAAUUUUCACUUUUCUAAUGUUUCUUCGUGGUAAUGGCGCGUCGCGCCAAUGCCCAGUUUCUCAUUCAGUAAGGCACCGUAAUGGCGUCGCGUCGCGCCAUUAGCCCAGUUCUCAGUUGUCCACUUUUCAGUGAACCAGCACGAUCGUGUCGCGUCGCGCCAUUAGCCCAGUUCUUAGUUGUCCACUUUUCAGUGAACCAGCACUAUCGUGUCGCGUCGCGCCAGAGGGUAGUGUCGAAAAUUUUUAAUAGAAAUCCAAAGUUUCGUCCAGUGUUAAAUUAAUCUUUUCCCAUGAUUUUAUUACGUCUAGAUAUGGGAUUAAAGACCUAAAAUCAUUUUAUGUCGUUCAUUAUUCAAUUUUUACCCAAAAUUAAGAGUUUUCUCUCUACAAUACAAAACCCUAACAUCAAGAAACCAAGAGCAAUCUCAAGAAAUCCUCCAAGAACCUUUAAUAACUCUUCUUCUCAGGUAUGUUAGGUGUUCAUUCAUGGGUCUCUUUCACCCAUAAAGUCCAAGAGCCCUUUUUAAACAUACAAGAUCUCAAAUUCAUGAUUUUCAUGUUUGAAUUAGAUUGAAUUCAUGUUCAUGAUAUUAGUUGGGUUUCAAUCCAUGAAUUAAUUGCAAGUUUCAUGAAAAUUGAAUAGCACGUGUGAUGAAUAUGUGAUUAUCUUGAUAAACCCUUGAAUUUACAAAAAUAUGAUACUUCCUGGACUCACGACCAUAAUCGAUAAUCCACAACAUAGGUUUCACAAUUCAUGAUUUUAAUAUAGUAUUCUUGAGAUUUAUGGGUGAAAGAAACCCAUGAAUCAAUACUAAAAAUACCUCAAAAUCUUGGAUCUUGAAAGAUAACUAACGUUUCUUGAACGUUCUUGGAUUGGGAAACACAGAUCUUGAUGUUUUCUUGAUGGUUCUUGAACUUGAAGAACAUGAAUUUCUUAGUUUCUUGAAAAGGGUUUUGAUCUUGUUCUUGGGGAUAAAUCUUUGAGAGGAACCCUAAUUUGGUGUGGUAGGUCAAUAAUAAAGUUAUGAGCUAUGAUCUGGUAUAAUUAAGGGUUAAAACAGAUGGAAAAAGACCCAAAUGCCCAUUUAAAAAAUGGCUUAAAAUUACUGAAUGGGAUCUGCGAUGGCUUGGGCGAUGGUCCAUCGAUGGCUCGAUGGUUCUUCACUCUGUCCGUCGCAGUCUAGCCAGAAAAUAGGUUACUGCCAUAUUAGCGACGGUCAGGGCGACGAUCCGUCGCUGGGUCGACAGUUCAUCGCUCUUUCUAUAAUAGUUUGACUAGAAGGUAGUCUUACUGCCUCAGUUGCGACGGUUUGGGAUACGGUCCGUCGCUAGCUUGACGGUUCUUCGCGCCUUCCGUCGCUCCUAGGAGGUUCAGACAGCUCAUUGUAAAACAUCUAUAUCUUUUUACCCCGAUACCGGAUUUGGACGAAAUUGGUAUUGUUAGAAAGCUAAUUAAAUUUCCCACAUGAUAGAAGUUGAAAUUGGGGAAAUUCUAUCUGAUUUAAACAUUAAUCAUUUAGGAAAUCAUCACUAACUCUUUUGGAGACUAGAUUAGACUUUAAAAAAUAUUUAGGGUAUUAUAUCCAUAAAGCCAGGAAUUUAGUUUAGCAGCCAGGCAGACAAGUUCGUAUGGUUUCCCAUCUUUCCACCCAGUCUCCCUAUCCGAAGUCUCCCGAAUAUGCCCAUUCCAAGAUGUUGCAUCCUAGUAGUUAUGAGUUUAGCCCAGUUUAUAUGUCGUGCCUCAGUUUUAGACCCCAAAUACUCAGUCAAGAUUCAGUUCGUAGGUACCCCAUGCAUUGUCUCAGCUUUUCCUCAGUAUCUCAUCCAGGUCGACAUUCUCAUCGAGGUCGACAUUUUUCAAGAGACAUAAUGUCCCAAGGAAGAGAUGCACUAUAACCCUUGAGCUUUCAUGUCCUAAACCUUUUAAUUUCUCUUCGCGUAACGAAUCCAAUUUGGUGUAACGGGUACUCAUAAGUUGACUCUUAUUUUAAUCUCAGUCGUAUUAACAUUCCCAUAGCAUGGCAUAUAUAUUCAAGGAAUCAGUUCAGUUCAUGAUAUUCAGUUCAUGUAUCAUGUUUCAGACUCAGUCAUGUCCUCAUGUUCCCGUUCAUACAUGUUCAGUAAGCGAUCUCAGGUUCAUUAGUAUUCUCAGCUUAAGGUGACUGUCUUCGUUAGAUUUACUCAGUUCUAUGAUGUAGUUACAGUUGUAAACAUCGUAUCCAUUAUCAUUGCAUAUUCAGUCAUGCAUUCAUGAAUCAGUUCAGUCAUGUAUUUCAUGUAUCAGAUAUGCAUGGUCAGUAUGUAAAGCCAGCAUAUCAGUAGUUUUAGUCAAGUAGUCAUGCUUUAGUUAUGCAUGUUCAAUGUGUAAACUCAGUCUAUUAGAAUUUCUCAGCUUGAUUAGUCUCAUUCGAGGACGAAUGUUCCCAAUGGGGAGAUAUUGCAAUAUCCCGUAUUUUCCUAGCUUAAUUUAAGUCUUAGUACAUGAUUAAUUCCAUGUAAAAAAUUUUAAAUACUACGUCUUUUUUCAGUUUGAGCCUACCAUAGCGUAGGAAAUUCAAUUAACUUUCCAAUGAUAUAAAAUUCACCCAAAUCCGAUACCCGGGUGAAGAGUUAGAGUCAUUAUAGUGAAACAGUGUACCACCUGGUACUUCAGCGCAUCGCGGAGGCGGUCCAAAUGACAAUUGUCAUUUUCCAGUGAGCCAACAUGAUACCACCACAUCGUGCCUCCAACCAAUUUCCCAAUUUUCACUUUUCUAAUGUUUCUUCGUGGUAAUGGCGCGUCGCGCCAAUGCCCAGUUUCUCAUUCAGUAAGGCACCGUAAUGGCGUCGCGUCGCGCCAUUAGCCCAGUUCUCAGUUGUCCACUUUUCAGUGAACCAGCACGAUCGUGUCGCGUCGCGCCAUUAGCCCAGUUCUUAGUUGUCCACUUUUCAGUGAACCAGCACUAUCGUGUCGCGUCGCGCCAGAGGGUAGUGUCGAAAAUUUUUAAUAGAAAUCCAAAGUUUCGUCCAGUGUUAAAUUAAUCUUUUCCCAUGAUUUUAUUACGUCUAGAUAUGGGAUUAAAGACCUAAAAUCAUUUUAUGUCGUUCAUUAUUCAAUUUUUACCCAAAAUUAAGAGUUUUCUCUCUACAAUACAAAACCCUAACAUCAAGAAACCAAGAGCAAUCUCAAGAAAUCCUCCAAGAACCUUUAAUAACUCUUCUUCUCAGGUAUGUUAGGUGUUCAUUCAUGGGUCUCUUUCACCCAUAAAGUCCAAGAGCCCUUUUUAAACAUACAAGAUCUCAAAUUCAUGAUUUUCAUGUUUGAAUUAGAUUGAAUUCAUGUUCAUGAUAUUAGUUGGGUUUCAAUCCAUGAAUUAAUUGCAAGUUUCAUGAAAAUUGAAUAGCACGUGUGAUGAAUAUGUGAUUAUCUUGAUAAACCCUUGAAUUUACAAAUUGAUUAAUGUAUCAUGAUAUUCAUGUGUUGGCCAUUAUCAUGUAAAUAAUCCAUGCUCCCCAAGUGUUUGCUAAAUUACCUAUGUGAAGUAAAUCGUGGAAUCAUAACAUGUCAUUAUGUGGUCCCAAUUAUAUAUAAGCUUAUGCCCUACAAGUGUUUGAUGAAAUGCUUAUGUGAUUUGACUAGUGAAAGCAUGACAUGUUAUUAUGUGAUCUCAUUCAUGCACAAGUUCAUGUAUAUUAAGUGUUUGAAAAAAUGUCUAAAUGAGUGCAUUGUUAGCAAGUAUUGUUAUGCCUUUAUGAUCAUGUUAUGUCUUUCUUUUAUGCUAUCGAGUCCUAGGGUAUUUAAUAUCUAACAAUUUAGUUGUUUACCUAGAGCCAGUGUCAGUUAUAGAAUAGUAUCAGUCAUGUCACAAUUAGUAAAACUCAUUCAGUCACAGAACUCAGGAAAACUCCGUAGACUCAGUAUCAAUCCAGUCCAGUUCAAUAUAAUCAGUUCAGUGUCUAUUCAGUUGGGAGUAGGAUUAAGCACCGAGUGAGCCUAGGGAUGAGGGCUCACCCGUUAGUUAGGACUAGGUCCCUAGAAAUAAUCCUUAAGUUCCAGAACUACGUAGCCAGCGUAGUUAUGAAAUGUCACCCGUUAGAUAGGACUAACAUACUCAGGGAUCACCCGCUAGUUUCGGACUGAUCUCAGGGGUCACCCGUUAGAUAGGACUGACUCCACAGUAGUUGUUAGUACCCAUGGAACGGUAUUAGCAUCCUUUCAAUUGGGGUUACAGAUUGGACCUCAACUCAGUUAUCUUAUCUUAUUUGGGGCAUAUCGGUUAGAUGAUUACCUCCCACAGUUUCAGUUUGUCUUCAGUUUAGAACUUAGUUCAUUUUACAGAAUCAGGACUGUCAGACAAAGUCAAUCAGUAUCAGUAAAUCAGUUAUCAGUAACUUUAGAUAUCAGUUACUCAGUUAUCAGAACUCAGUGCUCAGCUUCAGAAAAGCUCAGUUACAGUCUAUAUGUAUAUGUACAGUAUUGCAUACUCAGUGAUUUUCGUAGUAUCAGUUAUCCACGUGCUCUUAUAUUUAGUUAUUCUAUAUCAUCCAGUCAGUUAUUGUUCAUGCAUAUGAACUCUUAUAUUCAGCCUUACCUCAUCUAGCAUACUAGUACAUUCCACGCACUGAUCGCAUACUCUUUCUUUGUAUUAUGAUGUCUCAUAUCAUAGAUUCAGACGCUCAAGAUCCCGACCGCAUUUAUACAGGUCCAAUCAGCAGUUGUAGAUUUAGUAGUGAGUCCUCAUCUAUCAGGGAUAUGAUUUAUUUCAGUUUAUCAGUAGUUCAGUAGUUGGGGUCGUAAGCACCGUGUGACAUCUAGAGUGUACUCUCGGGGCGUUACACCUCUUUUUUUUUUGUGGAAAUUGUGGUAUAUAUUGUUACUAACUCUACUUUAUGGAGUUUGUCCAUUUCGAAGAAUCUGAAAUGUUAGGUUGAACCAGAAU